rnacentral:rRNA from 1 species
UACGUAGGGGGCUAGCGUUGUCCGGAAUCAUUGGGCGUAAAGAGCGUGUAGGCGGCCCGGUAAGUCCGCUGUAAAAGUCAAAGGCUCAACCUUUGAAUGUCAGUGGAUACUGCCGGGCUAGAGUCCGGAAGAGGCGAGUGGAACUCCUGGUGUAGCGGUGGAAUGCGCAGAUAUCAGGAAGAACACCAGUGGCGAAGGCGGUGCUCUGGGCCGGAACUGACGCUGAGGAGCGAAAGCGUGGGGAGCAAACAGG